GUGAGUCAUCGAAUCUUUGAACGCACCUUGCGCUCCUUGGUAUUCCGAGGAGCAUGCCUGUUUGAGUGUCAUUAAAUUCUCAACCAUUACAAGUUUUCUUUUUUACUUGCCAUGGCUUGGACGUUGGGAUUCUGCGGGCUUACCAAAGUCGGCUGUCCUUAAAUGCAUUAGCAGAGCUUUUGCUGCCAAACUCUGGUGUGAUAACUAUCAUCGCCAUUGCGAGGCUGCAUGCUUUGAAGCUCAGCUUCUAAUCGUCUCUUGAGAGACAAUACUUUGACCAUCUGACCUCAAAUCAGGUAG
rnacentral:misc_RNA from 1 species